rnacentral:rRNA from 1 species
AGUGAACGCUGGCGGUAGGCCUAACACAUGCAAGUCGAACGGCAGCACAGUAAGAGCUUGCUCUUACGGGUGGCGAGUGGCGGACGGGUGAGGAAUACAUCGGAAUCUACUUUUUCGUGGGGGAUAACGUAGGGAAACUUACGCUAAUACCGCAUACGACCUACGGGUGAAAGCAGGGGAUCUUCGGACCUUGCGCGAUUGAAUGAGCCGAUGUCGGAUUAGCUAGUUGGCGGGGUAAAGGCCCACCAAGGCGACGAUCCGUAGCUGGUCUGAGAGGAUGAUCAGCCACACUGGAACUGAGACACGGUCCAGACUCCUACGGGAGGCAGCAGUGGGGAAUAUUGGACAGUGGGCGCAAGCCUGACCCAGCCAUACCGCGUGGGUGAAGAAGGCCUUCGGGUUGUAAAGCCCUUUUGUUGGGAAAGAAAAGCAGCAGGUUAAUACCCCGCUGUUCUGACGGUACCCAAAGAAUAAGCACCGGCUAACUUCGUG